GCUCAAAUUUGAAGAGAAAAAAAACAUUUUGUUUUAAUAAUAUUUGGUAUUCACGGCUGCCCUUCGGUACGCGGAUAUCUUGUGAAAAAUACGUAGGUACUAUAAUACGAAUCGAAUAUCCUGUAGAGUGUGGUUUUAUUUAUACACGCAGGUACGCACUGGUAUUACGCGUGUACAUAAUAUUAUAUUAUACCGUAUACGAUAUUAUAUUAACCGCG